CCUACGCGAGGCAGCAGUUUUUUUCUUUGGGCAAUGGGGGAAACCCUAACCCAGCGACGCCGAGAAAGGAAAGACGGCCUUCGGUUAGUAAACCUCUUUUUUACGGGAAAAAGGAAGUGACGGUACCUUAGGGGUAAGUCCCGGCUAAUUACGUGCCAGCAGCCGCGGUAAAUAGUAGGGGACGAGCGUUUUCCGGAAUUCUUGGGCGUAAAGGGCCCGCAGGUUGUGUUACAAUUCAGCAAAAAAUGUCGGGGCUUAACCCGGGCCUGCGGUUGAAACUGCAGUGCUGGAGUGCUGGAGAGGCAAGUGGAAUUCCCAGUGUAGCGGUGAAAUGGGUAGAUAUUGGGAAAAACCCCCGUGGGGAAGGGGGCUUUUUGGGCAGCAACUGACGGUGGGGCGCGAAAGCCGGGGGGGCAAACGGGAUUAGAUACCCCUGUAAUCGGCCCAAAACGAUCACCCUAGGUGGGGGUAGAUCGCCCCCCGCGCGUCGCAAACGCGGC
rnacentral:rRNA from 1 species